rnacentral:rRNA from 1 species
UACGAAGGGGGCUAGCGUUGCUCGGAAUCACUGGGCGUAAAGCGCACGUAGGCGGCUUUCUAAGUCAGGGGUGAAAUCCUGGAGCUCAACUCCAGAACUGCCUUUGAUACUGGAGAGCUUGAGUCCGGAAGAGGUGAGUGGAACUCCGAGUGUAGAGGUGAAAUUCGUAGAUAUUCGGAAGAACACCAGUGGCGAAGGCGGCUCACUGGUCCGGUACUGACGCUGAGGUGCGAAAGCAUGGGGAGCGAACAGG